CCUACGGGAGGCAGCAGUGGGGAAUAUUGCGCAAUGGGCGAAAGCCUGACGCAGCGACGCCGCGUGAGGGAUGAAGGUCUUCGGAUCGUAAACCUCUGUCAGCAGGGAAGAACGGUCACUGUGCUAAUCAGCAGUGAAUUGACGGUACCUGCAAAGGAAGCACCGGCUAACUCCGUGCCAGCAGCCGCGGUAAUACGGAGGGUGCGAGCGUUAAUUGGAAUUACUGGGCGUAAAGCGCUCGUAGGCGGUAUGUCAAGUCAAGGGUGAAAUCCCCGCGCUCAACGUGGGAACUGCCUUUGAAACUGGCAGACUGGAGUGUGUGAGAGGAUAGUGGAAGUCCAGGUGUAGGAGUGAAAUCCGUAGAUAUCUGGAGGAACAUCAGUGGCGAAGGCGACUAUCUGGCACAUAACUGACGCUGAGGAGCGAAAGCGUGGGUAGCAAACAGGAUUAGAUACCCGGGUAGUC
rnacentral:rRNA from 1 species